CAGAGAGUAGUUUAUUUAAAAUAUUAGUUUUGGGGACUAAUGAAAGGGGGCAAACCUCUUUCUCUGA
rnacentral:tRNA from 1 species